rnacentral:tRNA from 1 species
GAAAAUUUAGUUAAAAUAUAACAUUAGUUUGUCAGUCUAAAAUUAUUAAAAUUAAUAAUUUUCU